UAACAAAUCAUCAUGCUAUAA
ensembl:piRNA 21ur-5124 ncRNA